GAUGAACGCUGGCGGCGUGCCUAAUACAUGCAAGUCGAGCGAACGGACGAGAAGCUUGCUUCUCUGAUGUUAGCGGCGGACGGGUGAGUAACACGUGGAUAACCUACCUAUAAGACUGGGAUAACUUCGGGAAACCGGAGCUAAUACCGGAUGAUAUUUUGAACCGCAUGGUUCAAAAGUGAAAGACGGUCUUGCUGUCACUUAUAGAUGGAUCCGCGCUGCAUUAGCUAGUUGGUAAGGUAACGGCUUACCAAGGCAACGAUGCAUAGCCGACCUGAGAGGGUGAUCGGCCACACUGGAACUGAGACACGGUCCAGACUCCUACGGGAGGCAGCAGUAGGGAAUCUUCCGCAAUGGGCGAAAGCCUGACGGAGCAACGCCGCGUGAGUGAUGAAGGUCCUCGGAUCGUAAAACUCUGUUAUUAGGGAAGAACAUAUGUGUAAGUAACUGUGCACAUCUUGACGGUACCUAAUCAGAAAGCCACGGCUAACUACGUGC
rnacentral:rRNA from 1 species